CGCGGCCUAUCAGCUUGUUGGUGGGGUAGUGGCCCACCAAGGCGACGACGGGUAGCCGGCCUGAGAGGGUGACCGGCCACACUGGGACUGAGACACGGCCCAGACUCCUACGGGAGGCAGCAGUGGGGAAUAUUGCGCAAUGGGCGAAAGCCUGACGCAGCGACGCCGCGUGAGGGAUGACGGCCUUCGGGUUGUAAACCUCUUUCAGUAGGGACGAAGCGCAAGUGACGGUACCUACAGAAGAAGCACCGGCCAACUACGUGCCAGCAGCCGCGGUAAUACGUAGGGUGCAAGCGUUGUCCGGAAUUAUUGGGCGUAAAGAGCUCGUAGGCGGUCUGUCGCGUCGGCUGUGAAAACCCGAGGCUCAACCUCGGGCCUGCAGUCGAUACGGGCAAACUAGAGUACUGCAGGGGAGACUGGAAUUCCUGGUGUAGCGGUGAAAUGCGCAGAUAUCAGGAGGAACACCGGUGGCGAAGGCGGGUCUCUGGGCAGUAACUGACGCUGAGGAGCGAAAGCGUGGGGAGCGAACAGGAUUAGAUACCCUGGUAGUCCACGCCGUAAACGUUGGGCGCUAGGUGUGGGGGCCAUUCCACGGUCUCCGUGCCGCAGCUAACGCAUUAAGCGCCCCGCCUGGGGAGUACGG
rnacentral:rRNA from 1 species